rnacentral:ncRNA from 1 species
UAGAUUCAUGCAUAGGGAGUGGGACAGAAAUGAUAUUUUAACAAAAUUAAAUUCGUUAUCCCCAACUGGCAUUGCCUGUAGAAUUUCUUUACGAAAUUCUCUAUGUUGUGGUCCCGCCAAUAUAACAUUGUAGAGCCUAGGACAUUGUGAUGUCCCAGACUCUAU